AAGCCAUGAUGGGGGCAGUCUCUCUGAUACGAUUUGAAUCGCACCCAAGAAGCCUUGAACGCUUCAGUUGGUUCUUGAGAGAAUGUUGAAAUUUUUGUUCUCAAUUC
rfam:Eutrema salsugineum unplaced genomic scaffold scaffold_35, whole genome shotgun sequence.